CAACAACCAAAGCCACAGAACACAGGGGUCUGGAACAAAGGAACUGUUGUGCAGACCACAGUGUCACCCGAUGCAUCCAGGAUUACUGUGGAGAUCAAGAACAUCCUUGAUGACCUUUUGAAAGUGGAUCUUAAAACAUUUAUUUUUCGUUUAAGAUUACACACUGAAUCCAAACGUAAACCUAUUUGUCAGAGUAAACUGGAGGAUAAGGACAGCAUGGAUAUUGCUAAAUUAAUGACUGACCACUAUGGAAGCAAGGAAGCUCCACAGGUCGCAAUACAAACUCUAAAAGAGAUAAAUCAGCUGAAACUUGCCUGUCAGCUGGAAGAAAGAAUAAGUCAGCUGAUGCAGAUGACUCUAUCAAAAGAAUCUGUGAGGAAAGAAGCAAACCAGGGAGAAAAGCUGAAGACUUUGUUAAGUUGUGGUGGAAACUCACUUGAUAACUAUGACAAAUUUGUUGUUGUUGUAAACAAGAGCAAUCCAGAACAACUACAUUAUCUUCAGUUUCUGACGAAGUUGAAACUGUUCUGCGUGUUAGACUUUGACCACAGUUCUGCUG